rnacentral:rRNA from 1 species
AUGUGGCGACACAGCGCGGAACCCGAAAACGCCUCUCAGUUCGGAUCGGAGUCUGCAACCCGACUCCGUGAAGCUGGAUUCGCUAGUAAUCGCGCAUCAGCCAUGGCGCGGUGAAUACGUUCCCGGGCCUUGUACACACCGCCCGUCAAGCCAUGGGAGCCGGGAGCGCUUGAAGUGCGUCGCCGCGAGGCGCGCCCUAGAGCGAGACCGGUGACUGGGCUAAGUCGUAACAAGGUACC